AAACAAAUGGAUGUUUUCAUAUGUAAGAAAUGUACUGAUGUGAUAAAAGAGCAAAAUGUCAAUGUCAAAGCUUUUCCCUCUUUUCCACCAGGAUUUCAAACUAUCUGUAAAAUGAACCCUCUCCACUAGAAAACAUCAUCCAAAGACAAGCUGUUAUUGUCUUGGUGAAGCACAUAUCCUUUAUCAGUCCUUGUAUAAGUUGGAAAUAAAGUGAUUAGAGAUAGUCAGGAAGAAGAAAAACAAACAAUUAUUAUGCUGCAACAUUAAAUUGAAAAUCUCCCUGAGUUAUUGGACAAAAUCAGUAACGAAAUGUCAUAGGCAGUGACAAGAGAGAUCUCAUUUUCUGGCUGUCAUAUUUUAGGGGGUUGAGGGCUGCGGUUGUCAGUAAAGCAGCGACAAAGAAAAAUGAUCUGUCUUUGCAGUAAGUGGCUCGGAGUGGCUAUGACGCAGGUUCCAAAGGGAGAAAGAAAGAAAAUCAUUGCCUAAGUCAAUGUGAGUGUCCCUGGGUGAGUGAAGGAGUCAAAUAACAUUAACAGAAUACUUUCCUAUUGCUUCUGCAUGUCUCUUUCAACCUCUAGAACAAAGUUCUUUAUCUUUAACACCAUGAGCCCAUUUAAAACCAGGGAGUUAAGAAGACUUCCAAUGAUUGACUUUGAGGGAUAUAACUGAUUCCACCUCAUUUUUCUACUUGGCUGGCUCUAGACCCAAAUGAGACUGUCUUCUCUCCAACAACACUUCCUGGUAUAGGGGAUGAACAAUGUUGUUUUAGAAUAAUAUAGUAAAAUGUCAGAAAGUGACUAAAUACCAUGUGCAAUUUUUCUUCUUCUUCUUCUUCUUCUUUUUUUUUUUUUUCUAACACACUAACUCCCAGCAUCCCUGACUCAUCCUCUGGCUCGCGUGCAAAUGGGUGUACAGAAUUCAGUCACUUAAUAUCUAUACAAGUCAAAUAAUUAAUUUUUAGGUUUUAGCUUCUGUUUCGUCCUUACCAGUCACACUGGAAAUCGUCACUGUGCUGACUGGGAGAGGGUCUCCGCUUGGGAAGGCAGGAGCCAUUGAUAAUGUCCUCCAGAUUUACACUUUCGGAAAUUCCUCAGAGACACUCUUCUCUCAGACGAAUCCAUCAACUAGAAAACCAGUGCCCAGUGUCUUCUGAGGUGAGGCAGGACAUUUGUACCAGCGGAGGCAAGCAUAAGGCUGACCUCCCUUCUGCCCAUCUCUUUUUCCAUUAUAUUACUCCUUUGUGCAAGAAGGUGGUGACACUGUCUGUCUUCUCGUUCAUCUUCUGUCUCUUCACAGUCUGAUUACUCAUUUCCCCUCAGCUUUGAACCAUCUCAUCAUAAGCCAGGCUUGCACCUCCCGCUGCAUUUGCUUAAGAAAGCAUAAUAAUGAUGAUAAUAAGAACGCUUAAAAUGGCAUAUCCACUGUCAUAUCCAUUGGUAGCUAUCUCUCUCACUGUUGGAGAAAUGGCAGCUAUGAAGAAAGGCUGUCUUCCUAGGCCCGUUUAAAAAAUCUGCUCCAUCCUAUUUCUAGGCAUUGACUUUACUAUCAAAGUAUCCUUUGCUGAACUUAAUCGUUUUCAAUACUCAUGAAGCUUUCAAGGAAGAGUGGGCUGAACUAACUUGGAAACUCUCCUGGUGUGAAUGAGCCGUCUGCAGCAGAACAUUUUCAAAAAUUAAAUGCACUUGAAAUGCACCUGAAAGCCUAAAUGAGUAAAGGUGGUAAGAACUGCAGCAAAGAGCAUCUUCAUGGAAGUUACAUGAUCGACAAAUCGCAAGAAUACAUUUUUGAAGCAUUUGGCCUACACUCCAAUAGCCUGGGUUGAUUAGAACAAAAUUUAAUUUGCGAUAAUCAGCUGGUGGCAAGGAGAGCAUGAAAUUAUGUUGGUGCGUUAGUUUUUGCACUUUGCAGUGUAUUUCCUUAUAAAUCAGUAUUUUUAAACUUAUCUUUGGGUUACAGAACAUAUAGCACAGCAAACUUUUUUUUAAAAAUCACUUUUAAUAAAAGUGUGUGAGAGACGGCUAAAUGUUAACAGAGCAAACACUGUCUUCCUCAGGGCAUCUCGCCCAAGGUUAAGGCAUAAUUCAAGGUGUUUUACUUCACUGGGUCAAGUGGUCUGCCAUGAAUUUCUGAAGACGAUGAAAGACGAAUUUGCACCUCUUAGCAAAACCUCCAUAAUACAAGAUCUAUAGCAGUCUCUACUGGCACUAAUUUCUUUCAAACCUCGGAUCUGUGGAUUCCAGUUAAUUUGCAGAGUUGCUCCAUCACGACCUGCGGCCUUGUGUGUCAGCAGGUUUGGCAGCAGACGAUUCCUUCUUACUUGGU